GAUCCUGGCUCAAGAUGAACGCUAGCGGCGCGCUUAAUGCAUGCAAGUCGAGCGAUGAGGCCCUCUUCGGGGGGUACAUCAGCGGCAGACGGGUGAGUAACACGUAGGUGAUCUACCCCAGAGACGGGGAUAACGGGUGGAAACAUCCGCUAAUACCGGAUAGGCUUGUUCGGUCAAAGGGACAAGGAAAGGCUCCGGCGCUCUGGGAGGAGCCUGCGGCCCAUCAGCUAGUUGGCGGGGUAACGGCCCACCAAGGCAAAGACGGGUAGGGGGUGUGAGAGCAUGGCCCCCCACAAUGGGACUGGAACACGGCCCAUACUCCUACGGGAGGCUGCAGUCAAGAACCUUCCACAAUGGGGGAAACCCUGAUGGAGCGACGCUGCGUGCGGGAUGACGGCCUUCGGGUUGUAUACCGCUUUUGUAGGGGACGACUAAAAGAAAAAUAAAAACUAAAAAAUGCGGUAUGACGGUACCCUUUCGAAUAAGAGGUUGCUAACUCUGUGCCAGCAGCAGCGGUAAUACAGAGACCUCGAGCGUUAUCCGGAUUUACUGGGCGUAAAGCGUCUGUAGGGGGUUUGUUAAGUUCCAAGUAAAAUCUUAAGGCUCAACUUUAAGUUCGCUUGGAAAACUAAUAAACUGGAGUCCAGCAGAGGUGCAUGGAACUUGCGGUGUAGGAGUGAAAUCCGUUGAUAUCGCAAGGAACACCAAAGGCGAAGGCAUUGCACUGGGCUGGUACUGACCCUGAGAGACGAAAGCGUGGGGAGCAAAACGGAUUAGAUACCCGUGUAGUCCACGCCGUAAACGAUGGAUACUAGAUGUUCGGGGAUUCGACCCCCUGGGUGUCACAGCUAACGCGUUAAGUAUCCCGCCUGGGAAGUACGGCCGCAAGGCUAAAACUCAAAGGAAUAGACGGGGAUCCGCACAAGCGGUGGAGCGUCUGGUUUAAUUUGAUAGUAAGCAAUGGACCUCACCAAGGUUUGACAUCCUAUGACAACCCUGGAAACAGGGCUUCCUUCGGGCAUAGUGACAGGUGCUGCAUGGUCGUCGUCAGUUCGUGCCGUGAGGUGUUCCGUUAAGUCGGGAAACGAACGAAACCCUCGUCGCAUGUUACAAAUUUCAUGCGAGACUGCCCGGGUCAACCGGGAGGAAGGCGGGGAUGACGUCAGAUCAGCAUGGCCCUUAUACCUUGGGCUACACAGGCGCUACAAUGGCCGGUACAAAGGGUUGCAAAACCGCGAGGUGAAGCUAAUCCCAUAAAGCCGGUCCAAGUUCGGAUUGGAGGCUGCAACUCGCCUCCAUGAAGUUGGAAUCGCUAGUAAUCGUGGAUCAGCCAUACCACGGGAAUACGUUCCCGGA
rnacentral:rRNA from 1 species